CGUACAGGUGGCCAUAUAAGUCGGAUGUGAAAUCCUUAGGCUUAACUUGAGAACUGCAUUUGAUACUGUAUGGCUUGAGAUCAGGAGAGGAGAGUGGAAUAUGUGGUGUAGCGGUGAAAUGCGUAGAUAUCACAUAGAACACCGGUGGCGAAGGCGGCUCUCUGGCCUGAUUCUGACACUGACGCGCGAAAGCUAGGGUAGCGAACG
rnacentral:rRNA from 1 species